GCGUGAAUGGUUUAGUGGUAAAAUUCUCCGUUGCCAUCGGGGAGCCCUGGGUUCGAUUCCCAGUUCACGCA
rfam:Verticillium albo-atrum VaMs.102 supercont1.14 genomic scaffold, whole genome shotgun sequence.